rnacentral:lncRNA from 1 species
GCGAGUUGACAGAGUUAACUCAUCCGAGUUUCGACGAGUUCCAGCGUCAAACGUCUCUGAUGACGAGCUGCACUCUCCUCUGGAAAGAACUCUCCGAUCACAUCAACUCACUCGAGCAAAACCUGGUGAGACAAUCGGAGGCCUUAAAACGCAAAAUUGAAACACUAGACUCGGAAACCAAGGCCUCACUCGACUCACUCAAGAAGCGCGAACACAGCAUCGAGGACAGCGUGAAGAUCGCACUCGACCGAGUCGAGUUCCACACAAAAGCCGCCCUGAAAACCCUUAGCGACGACGUU